UGGAAGCAUUGUUACUUUGCAGGACAUGGCGAGAAAAUUGAGUACACAAUGUCUAAAAAUUGAAUAAAAGUGGACGAACAUAAUUCUUUCCCGACGCGCAGUGUUAACGAAUAUAUAUUUAUAACAGGAUCAAAGUUGGAUACUACGUAUGUCUGUGACUGAGAACUGAUAGAGAUGGACCUGGAGGCACAUAUAAUACAAACCGGUCAGCCAAAGUUCUGUACACGUUCUACAGCCAGGCACCU